UACGGAGGAUGCAAGCGUUAUCCGGAAUGAUUGGGCGUAAAGCGUCUGUAGGUGGUUUAUUAAGUCUACUGUUAAAGAUCAGGCUUAACCCUGAGCCGGCAGUGGAAACUAAUAAGCUUGAGUACGGUAGGGGCAGAGGGAAUUCCCGGUGUAGCGGUGAAAUGACGCAGAUAUCAGGAGGAACACCAAUAGCGAAGGCAGCUCGCUGGGACGUUACUGACACUGAGGCGCGAAAGCGUGGGGAGCGAACAGG
rnacentral:rRNA from 1 species